GAUGAACGCUGGCGGCGUGCCUAAUACAUGCAAGUCGAGCGGUAAGGCCUCUUCGGAGGUACACGAGCGGCGGACGGCUGAGUAACACGUAGGAACGUACCCCAAACUGAGGGAUAAGCACCAGAAAUGGUGUCUAAUACCGCAUGUGCUCUAAGGAGUAAAGCUUCGGCGGUUUGGGAACGGCCUGCGUACGAUUAGAUUGUUGGUGAGGUAAUGGCUCACCAAGUCGACGAUCGUUAGCUGGUCUGAGAGGAUGAUCAGCCAGACUGGGACUGAGAACGGCCCAGACUCCUACGGGAGGCAGCAGUGGGGAAUUUUGGACAAUGGGCGCAAGCCUGAUCCAGCAAUGCCGCGUGCAGGAAGAAGGCCUUCGGGUUGUAAACUGCUUUUGUACGGGACGAAACGGCUCUGGUUAAUACCCGGGGCUAAUGACGGUACCGUAAGAAUAAGCACCGGCUAA
rnacentral:rRNA from 1 species